AGAGUUUGAUCCUGGCUCAGGACGAACGCUGGCGGCGUGCCUAACACAUGCAAGUCGAGCGGGGAACUUCGGUUCCCAGCGGCGGACGGGUGAGUAACACGUGGGUAACCUGCCUCAAAGAGGGGGAUAGCCUCCCGAAAGGGAGAUUAAUACCGCAUAACAUUAUUUUCUCGCAUGAGAAGAUAAUCAAAGGAGCAAUCCGCUUUGAGAUGGACCCGCGGCGCAUUAGCUAGUUGGUGAGGUAACGGCUCACCAAGGCGACGAUGCGUAGCCGGCCUGAGAGGGUGAACGGCCACAUUGGAACUGAGAUACGGUCCAGACUCCUACGGGAGGCAGCAGUGGGGAAUAUUGCACAAUGGGCGAAAGCCUGAUGCAGCAACGCCGCGUGAGUGAUGAAGGCCUUCGGGUUGUAAAGCUCUGUCUUCUGGGACGAUAAUGACGGUACCAGAGGAGGAAGCCACGGCUAACUACGUGCCAGCAGCCGCGGUAAUACGUAGGUGGCAAGCGUUGUCCGGAUUUACUGGGCGUAAAGGAUGCGUAGGCGGAUACUUAAGUCAGAUGUGAAAAUCCCGGGCUUAACUUGGGAACUGCAUUUGAAACUGGGUAUCUAGAGUGUGGGAGAGGAAAGUGGAAUUCCUAGUGUAGCGGUGAAAUGCGUAGAGAUUAGGAAGAACACCAGUGGCGAAGGCGACUUUCUGGACCAUAACUGACGCUGAGGCAUGAAAGCGUGGGGAGCAAACAGGAUUAGAUACCCUGGUAGUCC
rnacentral:rRNA from 1 species